rnacentral:rRNA from 1 species
AUUGAACGCUGGCGGCAUGCUUUACACAUGCAAGUCGAACGGUAACAGGCCUUCGGGUGCUGACGAGUGGCGAACGGGUGAGUAAUGCAUCGGAACGUGCCCAGAGGCGGGGGAUAACGCAGCGAAAGCUGUGCUAAUACCGCAUGUGAUCUGAGGAUGAAAGCGGGGGACCAGGCAGCAAUGUUUGGCCUCGCGCCUUUGGAGCGGCCGAUGUCAGAUUAGGUAGUUGGUGGGGUAAAGGCCUACCAAGCCGACGAUCUGUAGCUGGUCUGAGAGGACGACCAGCCACACUGGGACUGAGACACGGCCCAGACUCCUACGGGAGGCAGCAGUGGGGAAUUUUGGACAAUGGGCGCAAGCCUGAUCCAGCAAUGCCGCGUGCGGGAAGAAGGCCUUCGGGUUGUAAACCGCUUUUGUACGGAACGAAAAGGCUCUGGCUAAUACCUGGGGCUGAUGACGGUACCGGAAGAAUAAGCACCGGCUAACUACGUG